rnacentral:misc_RNA from 1 species
GGAUGCAAUGACGUGAUAUCUUCGUGCAAUCCAAAGAUAAACCAAUUUUUGCACGUCAAUGGUAAUCUUUUGGGAAAAAUCUACAUAUCCUUGUUCAUAUCUGGUAAGCAAGAAAAUGAAAUUUGCAAUGCAUCUUAGAUGUACAUAGCUAACCAAAUGUGGCCCCGCAGUUAACGUGUGACACUUUAAUUGGCUUAUUUUAUAACGAUUUGGUCGGUCGAAGAACUACUAUUCCAAUCCAACCCUCCCAACCUCUCCUAUUUUUUACAGGAAUAAAAAAUGUUCUCACAUACUCAUAGUGCCUCCAAUAAUGACCAAUUCUCUUUACAAAAGGGAAUUGCCAUGCCAUGCGGCGAAACAAGGAUUACACGAGGGAAAUCAUCCAUUAACAGAAAUCUGAUGCUCUUAAUCAUGGAUCAGUGCCUCAAGAAAGUGUGUUUUGUUUAUUCACUUGGCUCAUAAAGGGCACACGAAUUCUCCACUUGUCUCGAUAUCUUCAUAAUCAACAUCAGCAUCUACGUCAUCAAGAUCCAUGCUCCCUCCAAGAAUAUUGCCUUCAGUCUUUGGCAGCUCGACAGGUUUUCUUGCCUCUUGUAUUAUAGACAGAACUUCUUCAAUGCUCUGUGACGGGUUAUUCACAUCAUUGUUUUGCCAGCUGCCUCCUUCCAUCAGCUCGAUCGGCAAGUUCUUUAAGAACCAAGGAUGAUUUUUAAUUUCUGGAAUGGUUAUUCUCUGAGAACAAAACAAGUUAAAACAAUCCACAGGAUAACAAAUAAAGAUAUAUAAAAUAGAAGAAGAAUUGAUUAAAAAAUGAAUUUUAUCAAGCGUCAACUACUUCAAAGGUCCUUAUUAAUUGGUCCUAAGGACUGUUGUCUUACAUUCUUUUUCUUCAAUUUUAGAGAAUUGCAGUUGAUACACCUACAUUUCUAUCCAAACCAAAUGCCAAGUUACCUUUUCAGGAUUUGCCACAAAUAUUCGAGAUAAGAGGUGCCUGCAGUCAAUAGAAACUUGGACAUAAUCUGGAAUUGCAUAGUGGACACUCAGUAUUCUCUGCAAUAAGCAAAAGUAAUUUAACAGGACCAAAUAAUGGUAGUUCAAUAAGAAACUCCAAUAUAAAUUAUGCAGACCCUAAACAAUUGCGCUAAAUGUAAAUUUUAUCCACUAAAGGUUUUGCAAAACCACUUACCCCAAUUGUUUUCCUGAAGUUUUUGGGAUCAUCAGGGUCUUCAAAGGGAUAUGCCCCAACUAGCAUCACAUAUAGGGUAACUCCACAAGACCAAACAUCUGCAACCUUCCCAUCAUAUUCCUUUCUGGACAGAAUCUCAGGUGCAACGUAAGCCGGUGUUCCUACUGUAGAUUUGGGUUGAGAAUGAAACACAGCUGACUACUCAAUAACUCGAGAUAAUUAGCAAUCAAGAGUUCAUCAAAUUUUAUGUCUGAAAACUAUCAUUUACCAUUAAUUGCUUACCUUUGAAUACCCAAAGUCACAUAUCUUCACUCGCGGUGCUAUGCUGCCAUCUAGGAGUGUAUUUUCAAGCUUAAGAUCUCUAUGACAAAUUUGCUGCAACAUAGAGGUCCCUCGCAUCAGAUUCCAUUAAAGAUUAAACAAGGAAGUGUCAUUUUAGAAAGAUCAAGAAAAACAAAUGAAUGGAGGGACGAAGUUCACACCAUUAAAUGGCAGUAACUAACUCCUGAUAUCAAUUGCUGGAAGAAAAACCUUGCCUCAUCUUCGCUAAAUCUACCAGUGUUACAUAUCCUCUCAAAAAGUUCGCCUCCUGCAGCAUACUCCAUGACUAUGGCCAGAUGAGUAGGUGUUAACAAGACCUCUUUGAAUCUAACUAUAUUGAGAUGCUUCAAUGAUCUGUGGUUCAUGAUUUCCCUUUGCACGUGUUCAUCAAUUUUCAAGCCUCUCUCAAUAAACUUAACAGCAAAUAGCUCUUUAGUCCAUCUAUCUCUAACCAGCUUGGCUACCCCAAAAUUCCCAGACCCAAUAUCUUUCACAAUCUCAUAACGCUCCAUAGUUGCAAGAAGCAAUGUAGCACAAGAGCUAGAACAACCAGAAUUUAAAUCCAAUCUCCAACUUCACUCCUCUGUGUGUCUGCAAACUUCUUUAUUCUUCUCUUCUGAACGACUUCCAAAAACAGAGCAUAAAAAAUUAGACAAGUAGGUAACACCGGCCGUGUCUUACAAGUUAUAGAUAGAGAAAAUCCGCAGAGAGGAGAGCCUCAGCGUUUGACCGCAGUAAUUUAAGUUGAGACAGACAGAUGGAGAUGACGCGUGUGAGGAACGGUGAAGAUUGGAUUUGGUAAGAGAGAAAAAAAACAGAAGAGAUGGGACAAAGGAAGUGAAAUAUUAAUCAUGUGAACAAUUUCCACAAGCGGUGUGUGAGCUCAGUCAGCGAAU